AAUCACUUUCCAAUGGACGGGAUCCAGACUGUAGUCAGCCAGAGUAAAUGAAAUGAGCUCCUAGAAUUCUGAGAGAAAGAAAACUUCCCAAACCUAAAGUCGAACUCCAGGCGGCUACUAUGUAACUGUCCCUUUAAGUAAGGUGGCUAGUUUUCUUACUCUGCUUCAGUACGCGAAAGGUGCGGGUGAGUGAUCAUCUCACCUGGACAACUAUCUUUGUUUCCCCUCUGGCCUGCCGCUCGGUGCGUGUGGAUGCUGGAGAAAGAAAUUAGAGUUUAGCUUGAAAUAAACUAAGUCAUCAAUAAAAGAGUUGACUCUCAGAUUAGACAUUGGAGGAGAAGAACCGACUGAAGGGCUGCAACUUCUUUGGACCACUCACAACUGCAGACGAUUGAAUUCGCGGCUGUUUUUUUUUUACCCCGUCGUCAGUCCUCAUCCAUCCGCUGUCAUCCAUCUUCAUCCAUCUUCAUCCAUCUUCAUCCCGGUUGCCAUCCCACCUUCAGCAAGGCGUCGUCUACAUCAACAUUCCAUCAGGAGAAGAGUGGAGACAUGGCUCCCAGCAGGGAGAGGGUCAGCUCAGAGGAGACUUCAACCUGUCAGAAAAAAUUCACAUCCAGCCCCUCAUGCCUGCCUUCACCAUCCAACCUCCGUCUCCCACGUCUUCUGUGUUUCCCUCUCUGGCACCCAUCACUCCUCUUUUCCUCUACGAGCCUCUUCCUCUUGCCAUUUGAUUCAGAUCACUGAGUUAGCCUCCGUGUCCUUUUGUCUCAGGCUCCAUUUUACCUGGCAGAUGGACAGGGGGAAAGAAGACGGACACACAUUGAAGGGAGCAUAUAUGUGAGUGUUUGUGAGAUGGAAUGCGAGAAAGAAAAGGGAGUAGAGAGGCUGAAACUUUUCUGCAAAUAAUGGCCGCGGAGAUCGAGGAAUGGCCAUCAGAGAUGAAGGCGAGCAGGAGACGCAUGAUUUCACUCAGGAGAGACUUUUGCUACUCAGCUGUGGAGGAGAGCGGGGAUGAACAGGAGUCGCUAUAACCUGCAGAUGAACCUUUAGCAUGUUGUUAAACACUAAACUGCCAUGUCAGUGUGAAGGAAGCUAAACAAGCCGAGAAAGAGAAGGUGAAGAAGUUCAUUCCUUCACUAUUCCAUGAUAAUUUUUAUUUAAUUUUUUACACAAGUAGCCCAUUGCAGGAUUAUUCUUCUAAGCACGUCCCUGCUUUGUUCCUAUCUCUAGUGCACACGUGGACAUGCUGAUAAGCAUGUGGUGCCAUGAUACACAUUCCUGCCUGAGUCUAACUAUUCCAAGUGAUUGCCAGGGGUCAGAAACACGUCAGGAAACUGAGUAAUUCUGGCUUGGUAAAUCUUUUAUGAGAAAGAAAAUCCAGUACACUGUUUGUCAUAAUACAACGAUCCGCAGUUUGAGGUCUGGGACACAAGAUGGAAAAAAGGAAAAGUAGAUGUUGUAAAACUAAAGAAUCACAAUAUAAAUCAGAUUUUAUUUAUUAAAGGAUUAACCUCCUUACAACAUGUCCUAAUCAAGUAUCAAAAAUUCUUCUAAAUAUUUAAAAUCUGAGAAAUAUGAGUUCUGCUUCUAUUUUUUUUAGGGUUUUGUAAAAAAAAUACUAAUUUAAGUAUAGUUUUUUAAAAAACUUUCCUUUGGCACUGGUAUUGAACUUCCGGCUCUGUAAGCACUAAUAUCAAACAAUGCAAGGUGAUAUCCUGAAAAUCACAUAGAAAACCUUAACUGAUGUUCAGCAGUGACGAUGUUCUGUUACAACGCCGUUUAGUGAGCUAAUGUACAAUGACAUUUUUGUUCUCUUAAUUUAUUUUUAUUAGUUUUGAAUGUCGGCAACAUAAUCUUGUAAAGUAAUAACACAAUGCGAUCACAUCAUCCGAAAUCUGAUUCCACUCCAAGUGAAUGAAUGAUCUAUGUAAGGAUGUAAUAAGAAUAUGACAUUUUUGCUGGACUUUUAUUAUUGAUUUAACAAUGUUAUAAAACUGAGAAAACCAGUAAAUCCUAAAAUGAC